AGGGGGGGGGGGGUGUGGGCGGCGGGUGCUAUAAUGCAAGUCGAACGCUUUUUCUUUCACCGGAGCUUGCUCCACCGAAAGAAAAAGAGUGGCGAACGGGUGAGUAACACGUGGGUAACCUGCCCAUCAGAAGGGGAUAACACUUGGAAACAGGUGCUAAUACCGUAUAACACUAUUUUCCGCAUGGAAGAAAGUUGAAAGGCGCUUUUGCGUCACUGAUGGAUGGACCCGCGGUGCAUUAGCUAGUUGGUGAGGUAACGGCUCACCAAGGCAACGAUGCAUAGCCGACCUGAGAGGGUGAUCGGCCACACUGGGACUGAGACACGGCCCAGACUCCUACGGGAGGCAGCAGUAGGGAAUCUUCGGCAAUGGACGAAAGUCUGACCGAGCAACGCCGCGUGAGUGAAGAAGGUUUUCGGAUCGUAAAACUCUGUUGUUAGAGAAGAACAAGGAUGAGAGUAAAAUGUUCAUCCCUUGACGGUAUCUAACCAGAAAGCCACGGCUAACUACGUGCCAGCAGCCGCGGUAAUACGUAGGUGGCAAGCGUUGUCCGGAUUUAUUGGGCGUAAAGCGAGCGCAGGCGGUUUCUUAAGUCUGAUGUGAAAGCCCCCGGCUCAACCGGGGAGGGUCAUUGGAAACUGGGAGACUUGAGUGCAGAAGAGGAGAGUGGAAUUCCAUGUGUAGCGGUGAAAUGCGUAGAUAUAUGGAGGAACACCAGUGGCGAAGGCGGCUCUCUGGUCUGUAACUGACGCUGAGCUCGAAAGCGUGGGGAGCGAACAGGAUUAGAUACUCUGGGUAGUCCACGCCGUAAACGAUGAGUGCUAAGUGUUGGAGGGUUUCCGCCCUUCAGUGCUGCAGCAAACGCAUUAAGCACUCCGGCUUGGGGAGUACGACCGCAAGGUUGAAACUCAAAGGAAUUGACGGGGGCCCGCCCAGCGGUGGAGCAUGUGGUUUAAUUUCGAAGCAACGCGAAGAAUCUUUACCAAGUCUUGACAUCCUUUGACCACUUCUAGAGUAAAGCUUCCCUUCGGGGCAAAUGACAGGUGGUGCAUGGUGUCGUCACUCGGUCCGGGAAUGUUGNUAAGUCCCGCAACGAGCGCAACCUUUAUGGUAGUUGGCAUNUNUAUUGGGNAUCUNNGCGAGACUGGCCGUGACAACGGAGAAGGUGGGAUGAACGCUAAUCAUCAUGGCCUAUGAACUUGGGCUU
rnacentral:rRNA from 1 species